UACGGGGGGGGCAAGCGUUGUUCGGAAUUACUGGGCGUAAAGGGCUCGUAGGCGGCCAACUAAGUCCGACGUGAAAUCCCCAGGCUCAACCUGGGAACUGCGUCGGAUACUGGAUGGCUUGAAUUCGGGAGAGGGAUGCAGAAUUCCAGGUGUAGCGGUGAAAUGCGUAGAUAUCAAGAGGAACACCUGCGGCGAAGGCGGGUUGCUGGGCCGACACUGACGCUGAGGCGCGAAAGCUAGGGGAGCGAACGGG
rnacentral:rRNA from 1 species